AUUGAACGCUGGCGGCAUGCUUUACACAUGCAAGUCGAACGGCAGCACGGGUGCUUGCACCUGGUGGCGAGUGGCGAACGGGUGAGUAAUGCGUCGGAACGUGUCGAGUAAUGGGGGAUAACGCAGCGAAAGUUGUGCUAAUACCGCAUACGCCCUGAGGGGGAAAGUGGGGGAUCGCAAGACCUCACGUUAUUCGAGCGGCCGACGUCUGAUUAGCUAGUUGGUGGGGUAAAGGCCUACCAAGGCGACGAUCAGUAGCGGGUCUGAGAGGAUGAUCCGCCACACUGGGACUGAGACACGGCCCAGACUCCUACGGGAGGCAGCAGUGGGGGAAUAUUGCACAAUGGAGGAAACUCUGAUGCAGCGACGCCGCGUGAGUGAAGAAGGUCUUCGGAUCGUAAAACUCUGUCCUUGGUGAAGAAAAGACGGUAGCCAAGGAGGAAGCCCCGGCUAACUACGUGCCAGCAGCCGCGGUAAA
rnacentral:rRNA from 1 species